rnacentral:rRNA from 1 species
UAACACGUGGGUAACCUACCUAUAAGACUGGGAUAACUUCGGGAAACCGGAGCUAAUACCGGAUAACAUUUAGAACCGCAUGGUUCUAAAGUGAAAGAUGGUUUUGCUAUCACUUAUAGAUGGACCCGCGCCGUAUUAGCUAGUUGGUAAGGUAACGGCUUACCAAGGCGACGAUACGUAGCCGACCUGAGAGGGUGAUCGGCCACACUGGAACUGAGACACGGUCCAGACUCCUACGGGAGGCAGCAGUAGGGAAUCUUCCGCAAUGGGCGAAGCCUGACGGAGCAACGCCGCGUGAGUGAUGAAGGGUUUCGGCUCGUAAAACUCUGUUAUUAGGGAAGAACAAAUGUGUAAGUAACUGUGCACAUCUUGACGGUACCUAAUCAGAAAGCCACGGCUAACUACGUGCCAGCAGCCGCGGUAAUACGUAGGUGGCAAGCGUUAUCCGGAAUUAUUGGGCGUAAAGCGCGCGUAGGCGGUUUCUUAAGUCUGAUGUGAAAGCCCACGGCUCAACCGUGGAGGGUCAUUGGAAACUGGGAAACUUGAGUGCAGAAGAGGAAAGUGGAAUUCCAUGUGUAGCGGUGAAAUGCGCAGAGAUAUGGAGGAACACCCAGUGGCGAAGGCGACUUUCUGGUCUGUAACUGACGCUGAUGUGCGAAAGCGUGGGGAUCAAACAGGAUUAGAUACCCUGGUAGUCCACGCCGUAACCGAUGGAGUGCUAAGUGUAGGGGGUUUCCGCCCCUUAGUGCUGCAGCUAACGCAUUAAGCACUCCGCCUGGGGGGAGUACGACCGCAAGGUUGAAAACUCAAAGGAAUUUGACGGGGACCCGCACAAGCGGUGGAGCAAUGUGGUUUAAUUCGAAGCAACGCGAAGAACCCUUACCAAAUCUUGACAUCCUUUGAAAACUCUAGAGAUAGAGCCUUCCCCUUCGGGGGGACAAAGUGACAGGUGGUGCAUGGUUGUCGUCAGCUCGUGUCGUGAGAUGUUGGGUUAAGUCCCGCAACGAGCGCAACCCUUAAGCUUAGUUGCCAUCAUUAAGUUGGGCACUCUAGGUUGACUGCCGGUGACAAACCGGAGAAAAGGGGGGGGAUGACGUCAAAUCAUCAUGCCCCUUAUGAUUUGGGCUACACACGUGCUACAAUGGACAAUACAAAGGGCACUUAAACCGCGAGGUCAUGCAAAUCCCAUAAAGUUGUUUCUCCAGUUCGGAUUGUAGUCUGCAACUC